UACGUAGGGUGCGAGCGUUUGUCCGGAAUUACUGGGCGUAAAGAGCUCGUAGGUGGUUUGUCGCGUUGUUCGUGAAACUCACAGCUCAACUGUGGGCGUGCGGGCGAUACGGGCAGACUAGAGUACUGCAGGGGAGACUGGAAUUCCUGGUGUAGCGGUGGAAUGCGCAGAUAUCAGGAGGAACACCGGUGGCGAAGGCGGGUCUCUGGGCCGAUACUGACGCUGAGGAGCGAAAGCGUGGGGGAGCGAACAGG
rnacentral:rRNA from 1 species